CCUACGGGUGGCAGCAGUGGGGAAUAUUGGGCAAUGGGCGCAAGCCUGACCCAGCAACGCCGCGUGAAGGAAGAAGGCCCUCGGGUUGUAAACUUCUUUUAGCAGGGACGAAGAAAGUGACGGUACCUGUUGAAUAAGCCACGGCUAACUACGUGCCAGCAGCCGCGGUAAUACGUCGGUGGCAAGCGUUCUCCGGAUUUACUGGGUGUAAAGGGCGUGUAGGCGGGAGGGCAAGUCAGGCGUGAAAUUCCGGGGCUCAACCCUGGAACUGCGUUUGACCCUGUUCUUCUUGAGGAAUGGAGAGGCAGGCGGAAUUCCGGGUGUAGCGGUGAAAUGCGUAGAUAUAAGGAGGAACACCAGUGGCGAAGGCGGCCUGCUGGACAGUAACUGACGCUGAGGCGCGAAAGCGUGGGGAGCAAACAGGAUUAGAUACCCCAGUAGUC
rnacentral:rRNA from 1 species